rfam:Bacillaceae bacterium MTCC 8252 Contig25, whole genome shotgun sequence.
UGGUAAUGUCUCCUCACCAUUAUCAAUGGAGGCACUCGGCUGCACUGUGGGUUUGCACGAGGAAGUAAGCCUUAGACGCCAGUCGUCGAUAGUGUGGUGUGAGGGCGGGUUAGAUGCCCG